UUCUUUUUUUUGUCUUAACAAAAUAAAAUGGGUGCAGUUUAAAAUAAAAAAUAGUGUAACAAGAGGAGAAAUGAUGCAACAAGAGGAGAAACGGUGCAACAAGAGGAGAAACAGUGCAAUUUUCAUUUAAAGAGUGUAAUUUUUAUCUUAGUGGGUGCAGUUUAUAUCUGAAAGAGUGAAAUAAGAAGAGAAACAGUGUAAAUAUCUUUCAAAGAGUGUAAUUUUCAUUUAAAAAGUGUAAUUUUUAUUUUAAAGCUGUAGUUUACAUCUUAAGUAGUGCAACUUGUAAUUUUUUUGUAGUUAACGAUACAAUUUCAUCUUCAUCCUUUUUUUUAUAUAAUUUUUUAUCUUUAUUUUUUUUCUGUUUUUUUUUGUCACCCUCUCUGUCAAUAGCCACGGUGUCGGUGACGACGCCGCUAAAGACCCCCCACUCCGAGGCUGCAGCGCCGCAGUGAUCUCCACGGUGUCGGCGUCGGUGUCGGCGAAGAUGCAUCGUCGUCGGAGGCAGCAGAGAAGGAGGGAGAAGGAGAGACGGGAAGGGCAGGGAAGAGCGAGAGAGGCGCCGUCGUCGGAAACUGUGGAGGAGAGUCAGAGAAGAAAAGAAAAGAAAAAUGCAAAAAAAAAAAAGUCACAGCCCGGCCUUAGGGGGAUCGGAGGCGAGGAAGGUGGGGGCGCCGGCGGCGACGCCGCUCUGUCUUCGCCGCUCUCUGGGAAGAGAAAGAAAAAAAAGAACGAGAGAAAAAAGAGAAAAGAAAAAGGUAUAAGGGCACCUCCGCUCCGUCUUCGCCGCUCUCUGGGAAGAAAAAGAAAAAAGAACGAGAGAAAAAAAGAGGAGAGAGAAAGAGGAAAGAGAAAAAGGUAUAAGGGUAUUUUGGUCAGUUUGCUGAAAAAGCGGAUCGAAUCUGCAAAAGCCAAAAAGAUGGCCCGAUUUUGCAAAAGCCCAAAAUAAAUGGAUUUUUUAUGCAAAUUGGCCAAAAAAUUUUAAUCCAAAGCUUUUGCCAAAUUUCUAUUAAAUAAAAAUAUGAAAUUUAAUAUAAAAAAUAAAAUGCAAAUAAUUAAAGAGAAAUGCCAACUCUAUAACCGAAAAAGGUUGUAAUCCUUACAAGUCUUUUUUUUUUUUUUUUUUGUGAGAGAUAGGUAGCACGCUAUCCGCUUCGUUUACUUCAUUUAGAAAUAAACUUAGCUGGAAAUGUGAAUCAACUAGGAUUCGAACUUGGGCCUCGGGUACCAACCACCAAACCCUUUGCCACUUGCUUUAGGG
rnacentral:lncRNA from 1 species